rnacentral:lncRNA from 1 species
UCCUCCCUCAGGCUCCUUGUCUUCUCUUCCUCACUCUUCCUCACCCGCUGGACUCUGUUGUGUAAUGGUUUGUCAUUGGCUCCCUCUCUUCCUCCCUCCCUCCCUCCCUCCCUCUGCUCACUCUCUCUCUCAGGGAGGUCGGCCCUGCACUGGGCAUGCUCAGUAAACCACCUCACACUCGCUCGCACGCUCAUUCGUUACGGCGCCGCUGUGGACCUACAAGACAACAAGGGAGAGACCGCCCUCUUCCUCUCUGCCCUUCACGGCUGCUACGAAACCGCUCGACUUCUCCUCCUUCACGGCGCCAACAUGGAUCUGUGCGACCGCAGAGGGCGGCGCCCGAUGGACGUGGCUCGGGAGGGCGUGAACCAGCAGGUGCUGGAGCUUCUAUUGGCCCAUCAGAUCCAGAGAGGCCCCGUGCACACCGACGCCACCGCCACAGGGGACGUGGUGUGGGACGAGCGCGCUCUGAUGUUCUCCACCUGGGUCGGCGCUCAGGGCCUACCUGGGAGGAGCGCGUCCUUCUCCGGGAUCAUUGGCCAUCGGGACAUGGCUCCGCCUCCGCAGAGUGAUUGGCCGAUGGCACGCGUGCAGUAUCCCUCGCCUCAGAACUGGCGCCCUCAGCUCAACCAAUCAGCGACAGCGCUCGUCCCCCCGAGGGUCAUGGGCCGCUCGCCUCGGCCAAUCAGCACCCUGCAGGAGGUGACCUCGGAGGACGAGGACCGACACCAGGAGCCUCCCCGAGCCGCCACGCCUCACUUCCUGUUUCCUCAGCCCGCCCCUCGACAGCGCUCCUUCUCCUGCACCCAGCAUGCACUGCAGCGCCGCCCCGAGCCCAACUACCUCAUCGUCACGCACAGGUCGGCCGGCGAACCCACGGACAGGGCCGUGCCGUCGGCUCCGCAGGGCCCUGUCCCUCAGGUUGAACACCAGCCGCCCGCCAACGACCCUCCAUCUGCAUCCGCCACGGAGCAGAAAGCCAGAGGUGAAAGGUCAAACGAGUCUGCACAGACUGCCCUGUAGGAGGCGGAGCUUUAACCAACCAAUCCAAACAAUGAUCCAGAAAACAUCCCUAAUAUAAAUAUAUAAAUAAAUAAUUAAUCAAACAAAAACA